rnacentral:misc_RNA from 1 species
UCUCCGUUGGUGAACCAGCGGAGGGAUCAUUGCUGGAAGCGUCUCACGGCGCACCCAGAAACCCUAUGUGAAUUAUACCUAUACCCGUUGCCUCGGCAUGGUUGGCUUCUUAGAAGUCCCUUUUACCCAAAAGGAGCAGACCUGCCGGUGGCCCUAUAAACUCUAUGUUUUUUGUACAUCAUCUGAGUAACAACUAAAAAAAAAUGAAUCAAAACUUUCAACAACGGAUCUCUUGGUUCUGGCAUCGAUGAAGAACGCAGC